AACAACAAUAUGGGGCUGGUGUUUUAGCCUUCUUGUGCCUACUUUUGUUCACCCUUCGGCUUUCUUUAGGGAGGACGAUACUCUUUUUUUUUUUUUUAAUGUUUAAAGUCUCCAAUGGUAGUGGACAAAGUUGGUGCAGAGUUGGGGCUACAUCUCAUCUAGCGAAUGCCUCUUAUUAUGUGGCACCAUUGCAGAAACCAAGGACCAUAUAUAUUUUAUGAAUGCCAGCCGGUUUACACAACAUGUUCUUACAUCCAAUAGAGCUUUGGUACAACCUAAACCCUGGCUGGAUGCAUUGAACUGGGCCAUUAAGCAAGCAAAGACCCAUUGCGUCUUGUCUUUGCUUGAUUAGGUAGGAGAUUGCCAACAGAUACCUUUAGGUUGCUAACAAAUAUUGUUAGACAGUAAUUAUCUACCCUUACCAAAUUUACUCAUUCCUUAAACUCCUUGAUGGAUUGGUGGUUGAUUGGGAUAUAGGCGAAUAAGUAGUGUCUUAUUUGCUUUAUUUCUCCUUAUUGAGUUGGGUUGUAAUCAUUAUCAAUGUUGUUAUACGCGGUAACAAAAUUUUGCUUCC
rnacentral:lncRNA from 1 species